rnacentral:rRNA from 1 species
UACAGAGGUCUCAAGCGUUGUUCGGAUUCAUUGGGCGUAAAGGGUGCGUAGGCGGCGCGGUAAGUCGGGUGUGAAAUCUCGGAGCUUAACUCCGAAACUGCAUUCGAUACUGCCGUGCUUGAGGACUGGAGAGGAGACUGGAAUUUACGGUGUAGCGGUGAAAUGCGUAGAUAUCGGGAGGAACACCUAUGGCGAAGGCAGCUCGCUGGGACGUUACUGACGCUGAGACGCGAAAGCGUGGGGAGCAAACAGG